rnacentral:lncRNA from 1 species
AAAUUAAACAGGCAGCAACAAGCCCAACAUGCAACAAGCAGCAACAAGCCAACACUACUGGCUGACUUAGCAACAAGCCCAACAUGCAACAGGACAGGCAGCAACAAGAAGAACUGAAGAAGCCAACAACAUGGUGUUUGUCUGUUUAAGAUAUCCCAAGUUCACAACAACAGCAACAGACAACACUACAACAGGAACAAAAACCUAUUUUCCAUCUGGCUGAACCCAACCCUCGUGACUACCCAUGUAAUUGUUCCAUUUUGUUCACCUGUUAUCUGAAAAACCUAUUUUCCUCUGUUCUUUCCAAAUUGAUAGAGCAAAAGAAAACAAAAAAAAAUAAUAUGAGCAAUCUAAUAUCUGAAGUAAAAUGAACAAAUCAAAGUAAUGGGGAAGGAGCAAGGGAUAGUGAAACACGAAAGAGCAUGAAAAGUAUAAAAAAGAAAACACAUUUAAUUAAGCACAACAAUAGUUAUAUAUACACACAUAUAUUUGAAAAUCUAAUACCAAGUGAACUAAUAUCCCCAAAUAUUUGGCAGUCGUUAGCUUUAGAAUGGAGGCAGGCCAAAUUGCUAAUUACAGUCAGGUAAUUGUAGAAUGAUUCUGUUUAUGAGCUUCAAUAGAACAUCAUUAUGCCAUCAGAUUCAGGGUAAGUCGAGAACAUACCAAGACAGACAGUGACCACUGAGACGUCAAGUCGGCGACGACGAGAGGCGCGAGAGACAGACUGUGACCACUGACCAGUGAGCCAGAGUCAAUGAGGGUCGAGACGAGAGACGGACUGACGGAGACCGCGUCGGAGACUGAGACGGGGAGAGGUGGAGGCCGCGCCGGAGAUUGAAAGUUGAGACUGUAGAAGUGUCGAGACUCGAUCGAGAGGGCAAGAGGCUGAGGAGUGACUAGUGAGGACUAAGGAGUGAGGAAUCGAGAAUUAGAG